UGGGGCGACACAGCGUGUGGCUAAGUAAACAAAGUUUAGAAGUUUUUAGCGUUUUCGGCUUGUUUGCCGGAGUUGCGAUUGCACUUGAAACAAAAAUAUACCUGCAUUCUAAAUAAACAGCUAAAUACAAAUUUAAAGCUACUUAAAUUUCAGGGAUGCCACAUAGUUAGAAACUGGUCAAAAUGUAUCUACAAGCUUUGGUUACUCUUUCAUAUCACUCCCUAAAGUUAAUAAACAAGAUCCAUAUACAAACGUCAAAAGUAAAAAGAGCUUAUUUUCAAAAUUCUUGCAAUAAAACGGGUUGCCACCUUUCAUAGGGUGUUGCCAUCUAAACAGGGUUUGCAACACACUGUAGGAAAUGGAAAUAUGGAGUUUAGCCCGACAUCAAAACCAAAUCCUUCUUUUUGGACAGCACAAAGUCAUGCCAUUAAAGUCAGUCAGUUAUAAUUAACAGCCAAUUGAAACGGGUCACAAUAAACAAAUGCCAAAAUCAGGAAAAACAAAUAAAAAUGUGUAAUCAUCGUCAUAGAAUCAGAAUGGCUGAACUGAACUCAACUCAACUGAACUGAACUCAGUGCCGCCGGCUACCUACGACUGUUGACUGCAAUGACAUUCAGUCAAAACAAAUUCUACUUUUCACUUAUUUUUUACAUUUCAUUUUCACGUUUUUUUUUUCGCAUUAUUUGUUUUGCCAUUUUUGCGGGUGGGAGGUGGCAGGUGUCUGCGACAGAUGGGGAACAACUGAUGGGGAUGGCGAGAGUAUGGUGGAUGCACUGUUUGCUGGCAGCCCAAACCAUUAACCCCUGGGCGCCGAUGACAAAACUGGGAAAAAAGAAAGCACACACACACACAGUCAACAAAAGGACUUUUUGUGGGGACAAAAUGUAUAUUGAUACACUUUUGCACAGUGACUUUCAUAAUUGCCGGGGAUGUGGUAAAAAAAAAGAGAAUUUAAACGAAAAUAAAUACAUCUUAAAAUGGCAUAAAUGAAAAGCAGCAACUACAUUGCACUUUAAAUAUCUAUCGUACUUAAAUUUCCAUUUUACCUUCUGCUUGAAGUUCUAUAUUUUUAGAUGUAUUUUUCACGUGUGCCCGAAUUUCAAUAAGAGUUUUCCCCUUGGGACAAAUUGCAACCAUGUACAUAGUGUUUUGCCAACACCACCCAAUUUAGCCCACUUCCGAACGCAAAUUGAAGUGUUUGCAUUUUUCGGCCGGCAUAUAAAAAUGUUUUGAGCUAUUUUUGCAUCUGUUAUGUAUUUGUAAUUUAGUUUUUAUUGAUAGCCAUCCAUACUGCCUGUCCAACUGUCGUUUUGUUGACUCCCGUGCGGUUUGCUGCAGUUUUCCAAAUGCCCUUGCGUGCAGGUAGAUAUGGUAGAUCGAAUUUUAUUAGCCCCAAAAUGGAGGAAAUAAUUUGGCAAUCUAUUGUUGCAAUAACUAACUGCAAUCUCGAACAGAUAUCUUGCCGCAUUAAUUCCAAAAAAAUAUUUAUUCCUAAAGAGAGUGUGUUCAAAUUGCCGACCAUCAAAUGUUCAUAACUUUGCUGUUAUUUUGUUAUUUAUGGAAUACGCUAGUAUUUUUCUAUUCCUCUGUGCCAGCUAAAUCGGAGAUUAAGUUGAAUUAAAACAUUUCGGCUAUUUGUCGAGUCAUCAAACUGCAAGCUUUUACUGGCUUUAUUUGCCAAUAAAUGAAUAUAGUUUUACGAUACCAAGCUCAAUUUAUAUUUAGAUUGAAAUAUCAAUAGGUGUAGUGUAACAAAGUCAAUUGGAUUUGAGUGUUCUUUUUUAUGAAUAAUAGCCUUAACUUGGAUGUAAGUUAAUUUGAAUCAAUGCAACUUUAUGUAGACAUCAUGUAACUUUCGAAUUUGUUACAUAUAUUUUCUAAAUAUACAUUGAACUUAAUUUAAUUUGAUAGCAGCGAGCACACUUGAAAAGUCAGUUUUUCUGGGCGUUUUGUCUAAAUAUAGCCGGUCACAACAAAGUUGCCACAAGGCACACACGCACUACUCCCCGUGGUAAAAAAAAAAAGAAAUAACUUCAAGCUCUGCCUGUCAACGCCGUUUGCCAUUUUUUCUGCAAAAAUGCUCCCCUUUUUCUCCUUUUUCUCUCUUGGCAUUAUUUUAUGUUGUUUUGGGCUAGGCUGGGCCUAUUCAUAGAGUGAAUCAGUCGGUCGAUGGAACAGUGGGACAACAGCAAGUGAGUUGUAACUUGGCGUCGGCUGCGACAACAGCGAUGAGGAUGACGAUGGCGAUGGUGGUGAUGAUGAUGAUGGUCCGGGGGUCGGGGUCUGUGCUCCAUUACCAUAAAAUAUAAAAUAGGCCCACAAACAAAUGUGUAGUGUGCGCUCCAUGGAGGCGAAGGCAGCGAAACUUAUUUAGGUUGUUAGAUGAACGACCGCAAGACGUCACCAGAAGCCAGAACCCCCUUUACUUUCCUUUCAAUUCAUUUGGUUUCUUUUCUUUUCUUUUUAUUUCACUGUUGCGCUUGCUAACCGAAAAAGAUCGGAGGGGACACAAUAUAUAUAUAUAUAUAUAUAUAUAUAUAUAUGUGCUUAUAUUUAAGCAACAACAACAAAUCCUGUCGCACAACAGUCAGUCACUCGCGAGGGGAAAUGUUUUUCACGGAAGGAAAACUUUUCCCCCACUUGUAUACCCUUUUGCAUAUUACUGCGAUAGAAGUUAGGAGAACUUUUUCCAACUAGCCCAGAUUUAAGUGGCAAUAUAUUGGGGAGUUUCUGCAUUGCCGAGGUUUAAUUGGUUUCUUAAAAUAUAAGCAUUCCUUAAGGUGUUUAAAACUAUGCAACACUACUAUCUGUAUUUGCAUACUUUGCAACACCUUUUCACUUUUGAAGAGUGUCUCCAUUUCCACCAUGACCAAGCUCAACUAACUUGGCUCAACGCGAUUUUUGGCGUAUUUGUAUUUUUGUACUGGCAUUCGGUUUCUGCAGAAAAAUUUUACCCACUUUGAUAAGACCCACGGAAAUGCAACCUAAAAAGCAACAAAAAUAUGCUUUGAUAAUAACAAAAAAAAAAGAAAAAACAGAUAUUGUAGAACGUGAAAAGAAAGAAACAAUCUAGGUGCAAAAUAGAAAGCAGAAUAACGAGAAAUGCAAGGCAGCGUAAAGAAAAAUCUUGAUUUUAGCUUUGCAACACUCAAACAAUGAAAACGAACCAGUGAUAGUAGGCGGAAAUAACUAUGCGAUAGGUCAGUUACAUGAUAUAUGCAAUAAACUAUUUGGUACCCUAAGGGUUUUCUUUACUCAUAAAACUUGAGUUAAGAAAUCUAUUUUUACCUCACAAUUCGAGUGUGUAAAAUGCAGGCACAAAUCAAAACGAGUCAACAAACCACAGUGUUUUCUUUUCAUUUUUCCCCUGGCUUUUUUGCCGAUGACUUGACAUUUUCAUCUGGCCGCAGCUGGCGGGUUUUUCCUGCCUGCCCAUGGAGCCCACAAACGUGGCUCUCUGACCAUCGACCCUAUUAAUCUGCAGCUUCUCAAUGUAUAAAACAACCCCCAUCUUUGCUGAAAUACCACUAACCUCUUUUCGAAUUGGCCAUACAAAUGAAAUGAUUCAUGAAACAUUUGGCAACCGCUUUAAAAACACCAAACGAUUGUCGUUGCUUAUGGUUAUUGUUAUUAUUAUUGUUGUUGUUGUUGUUGCUGUUGUUUUUGUUGCUGUACAUCGAUACAAUAUGGGUUUUCAUGUUUCGCCGUAAAUUAAAAGCAAUUUACAAGCAAAUAAAGCGAAGAAGUCAACGAGCGGCAAAGAAAUGUGUCAACGCAACGUACGAACGAUAAUUAUUUCCGCAAAUUUUUGUUCACAGGUGACAAAUUAAAAGGAAAAAUUGCUGCUCGCUUUUUUUUCCCCCGCCGACUUUUCAUUUCCCCCCCGCGAUUCGUUGGGGGAAUUUCCUCGGCAGCACCAAUAAUUUAUUUAUUUUCCCUCGCACUACUGACAACAAACAAACAAGAGGCGAAGAAGGAACGAACCGUGUAUGCUGCUCAUCAGUUUCUUUCUUUUGGGUAAAAAAAAAUAAUAAUAAAAAAAAACUGCGAGGUAAGAAUGUUUUCAUUCGACUUCGUUGGAAAAUUCUUAAAUAUAGCUGAUUUUCCUGGUUUUUCUGUUGUCGAGGUCAAAAGUUGUCGUAUAUAAGUUGCAAUUGUGCUACAGCUGCGCAUUUAAAAAAAAAAGUAAAAAAGUAACCAAUAAUCGCUUGUUGCACAAGUUGUUGAUUAAUUCAUUUACAUUUCUUUAUGAAUUACUCUACGCUGUGCUAAAUAAGCUUAGUGCUGGUUAAAUAUUUCAUAUUUCAUAGCGAUUUUGGGUAUUACAGGCUUGACCCGAGCAAAGGCGCAACUCCUCUUAUAAUAGCCGCCAUUCUUUCUGCUCAUUAUCCUUGCAGCCAUUAUCCCCGCCCACCUGAACUCAUUACGAUUGCAUGGGGAAAAGCGGAAAAACUUUAAGGUAGCUGAACACACUCUUCGCCCAAUCUCAUUCGGAAAAGUAGUGGCGGGGAUGCGGGACCAAAAAUAAACGGCCUACAUUUCGAGUUUCUGAUUCUGUGCCUCCUCCACCACACUUCCCCAAACCCACCAUCGCACCCUACCCAGUUAACCCAUUUCGGAAAAUACAAAAAUAUCUUUUGCGAAAAGUUCAAUAAAUGCUCCAUUUCCAUUCGCCGUUCGCCAGAGAGCCUUCUCUUUGGCCAUGUCUCUCAACUGAAAUUACUACGCCCGUCAACCCAAUUGCCUUUGGUGGGGUUAGUGGAUGGAUGGAUGGUUGGAUAGAUGGGGCGCCGAAGGACCAAGGGACUUUCCGCGCUUUUCAUUUUCCGCGUGUGUGUGUGUGUGUGUGAGUGUGUUUUUUUGCUGCUUUUCUGUUCUAUGAACGCAGCAGUAGGAGCGAUUUCCUGGCAGCAGGAGGCUCAACAGUAAAACCGGAAAAUUUCCUACUUCCUGACUGACGAACUGGCUAGGAAAAUGCACUAAAAAUCAACAACAACAACAACAACAACAACAACUACGGCGAACUAACACAGAAAAACCAAAAUGAAAGAGGAGAUGGCAACUCAAAUGAAACGCGAUUUUAUUCCCUUUUUUUCGCUAUGCGCAUAUAUCUAUAUAUGUAUGCAUGUACACACAUAGAUAUGGUCUAUAUCUAUUCGUAACAGUGUCUGUACAGGCGGAUAUGCUCCUCCACUUUUUUUUUUUUGCAAAGUUAAAAUUUUGGUCCGCCCCCGAAGCCCCUAAACACCCAGUCCCCCUCCCGCUGGCCACUCAACGCGCAUAAAACUCUUGAAAAUGCUUUUGCUCGUAAAUUUUGAAGCAACUGGGAGCAGGCUGGUGGAUUGUGGAUGGUGGCUGCUGGAUGCUAUGAAAAGAGCACUGGAGAUGAGCAAGUGUAUCCCUGCAGGCGACCACUGGCUGCUGUUCGUUGUUGCCUUUUCGUUGGCUGGCAGCCGCGGGGGAGAGGAGACAGGGGAGUGGGGCAACGUGGCAGGACACUGCCGCAACAAUUGUUGGCUUGCCGCCGCUGCCGCUGAUGCUGCCACUGCUGCUGUUGCUGCUGCUGCUGCCAUCGUCAUGCAAAUUUAUUUUCGAAUGCGGCCAGCAAAGAGCCAUGUGUGCAAACAUCCGACUUCUGUUCCGCCCUUCAGCAAUAUCGCCUGGCAAUAAAACUAAUUCCUUGAAAAAUAUCACACUGUUUGUAACAAUGUUUUAAAAUGGCAUUACUCAACUAUAUUGUAACUCACAAUCAGCUAGUACAUCAUUCGGAUUGGAGUGACCACUCAGUCCUGAAGAAUUCGCGACGAGUUCUUUUCAAACGAGUUCAUACAAUCGCCCGAACGGAAAUGUAUUACAUCUGUGAUGUAAAACUACCAUUUACUCUGUGUUGUAUACAAAUAUCUUUGCAUUUUCUUCGUUGUAUCCGACUGCGUUUUUCCGGACUAUAAUUCAACAUUGCAAAUCUGAUAAGAUUAUAGUUGAAAUAUGGCUUUGCACCCCCUUGCCAUCAUCCUCACUGAAACUAUUGCAUUUUCCGCUGCUUUUAUUGUUUUUUGCCGAGUUCUGUUGCCUUUAUUUGUUUAACAACUCGCGGUCACGAAGCAUGUAUGUAUACAUCAAUUUACUGUUUCGCAAUAUGCUGAGUCACAAGGUCAACAAACAAAAUGUGAGUGAAAACAGAUAUUAGAUUUAUCACCCACACGAUUUAAAUGUAAUUAAAGGGCAAACUAACAAGCCAUCACAUUUGCUUUCUAGCUUCGGAUCCAUUUCGAAACUCACUUCGUAAUUAACCGCCUGUUAAGUCGCACCAUUUUCAGAAGGACUUACCCAUCGUCACUUGCUCAGUCAGUCAGCCAGUCAAUCACUCCAAUCCAAUCCCCAAUAUUCCCUCCAGCGACAUGCAGCGAGUCAGUUAGUCAAUGCCACAGGCCAAAUCACAGGAGCCGCGGCGGCAUUCGUUGCAGGGGCAAAAGCGAAUAAUCACGGCUCAUAUAACCAUAAUUAUGAGCUGACUGACGUGCUUUCUUCACCGUCGUCGUCGUCGUCGUCCUUUGGCACCCGCAUCUGGCGCCCAACGCGGCGUAUGAGCAAUUUGCCCGCUCUCAAAGCGAAAAUGCGAGCACAUUUCGGAAUGCCAAGCGGAGCAUAUGCUGAAAUCUCUGCCCCAUCCUCCCCUGCCACGCCCACACUAGUUUGCUGCCCACGUGUUGGUUCAGUGCCUCAUUAUGAAAUUAUGCACAGAUAUUUUUUAUGCAGCACAGAGAGGCGGAAAAAAGCGAUGCUUUCGCGGUGAAUAACACCUGUUCCUCCUCCAACACUCAAAUUCGCCCACAGUGGUUUACUUAGCAUCUCAGAAUGGGAUUUCAUAUCACAUAUAUGUGCAUGUAGAUGCAUUUCACGGAUAAAUGGUAUAUUCUCUGCCGAAAGAUCUUUUAAUUUAACGUUGCUGCUUGUGUGUACCUUGCCACUAAUUAAUAGUUUGGCUACACAGCUCUCGAAAUAGAAAUAAAAGCUGAGGACAAACACCGAAAAAAGCGCUGCAUCUUCUUCUUCAAAAAAGAAAAAAGUAUCUCAAACGAAUGCCGUUUGCAUAAGGAGAGACCAGGGAAAAAAUGCAAGCCAACAAAGAAGUAAAAUGCAAGAAGUGGGUAGUGGGAGAAAGUAAAAGAAAUUGGCAAAAAGAUAUUACAACGGCAAAAGCUGCUUAAACAAAUCGACAGCCAAGAGUUUGACAAACUUUUUUUUUCACUUGCCUGCCGAUGAAAAAGAGAUUGUGUAAUUGCAAGUUCGCUUCAUGUUUGCUCACUGUCUGUCUGUCUGUCUGUCUGUCUAUCUAUCUGUCUUCCCCCAAAUGCUCCUCCCUUUAUUUUAGUCCCUGUGCUAAUUCCUGGUCUAAGUAACCAAACCAAAACUGAACCAAACCAAAGCGAAGCAAUCCGUGUCCUCGGAAAUGCCGUAGCCAUGGCUUGCUUCCUUGAAGGCAUUUUGUGGGCAUGCCCGGCAAUUUGGCUAGCUACGACGCCGAUGACAUUUGAACUGCGAAACACCGAAACUUUGAUGUCAACCUGUUCCGAAAGUGACACCCAAAGCGAGACAUCCACAUCCACUCGCCCGUUUCUCGUGGGCCUAAAAAUAGAAGGAGCCGACUGCAGAGGAGGAAGCCCCAGACGAGAAGGAUGGCACCCAACUCGAUCCGAUUUCACCUUCAAUUCGACUCGAUUACUUUGGCAAAUGUGGGGAUGGCAAAGGGAAAAAAGCAGGGCGGGUUCUCCGUUUCGAUUCGUGUUUUGUUGUAAUUGACAUUUCAAUUGAUUUAAGUUGACAUUAAACGACACACAUUAAAGGCAGCCCCUGGAAGUUCAGGUAAGAGAUGUUGAGUUACUUGUAGGUCGAUCGAUUCGGUGGAUUUCGCCCAAUAGUUAUACAGAUUAUUACCAGCUAAUAUAACUUUUAUUUUUCUAUAACAUAAACGAUAAACAAUCAGCACUUCUACAGAACGAAAUACCACAAAUGUUUCUCAGAAAUGUUUCUGCUUCAUUUAACUAUGACAUAUAAAACAAACGUCGAGUUCCACUUAAAUGACCGAUGCAAGUUAUUUACUGUGAAAUAAAGCUUAAAAGUCGUACAGCAUAAAUUAAUAACGUAAUUUAUGCUUACAGCGCUUACAUUGCGAGCAAUUAAAAUGUCACAACAAUUGAAUACAAUUGCAAAAAUGAUUACAACUGAAAUUAACAACACCAACAGUGGCUAACACAUUCCGGCCUUCUCGAUAUUAAAUGUCCAUAAAAACAGUUAACGGAUACACUUAAAUGUUUCUUACUUUCAAAUUAACGAGCUGCUGCUUUCGACAAAGUAAAAAAAAAGCAAACACCAAAGUUCGCAUAAAAUCAAGAAAAAAAGUAGAUGUCAUCGUUUAUAUUGAUUAUUGAUUGGCAACCAAGUGCAUAAAAAUAAACAAACGCCCAAUAUUUGAGGCAGAAGUAAUAAACUUGUAUGUACAUAUGCCAUACCAAUCCAAUCAAACUUAUAUAUGUACAUAUAUAUUCCGUAUACUUGGCAACCCAUAUCAAUUAAGCCAAAAGACCGAGAGAGUGGUCAAUAAUUUUUCUCACCCAAACAUCAUUAAGAUGAUGGGGGUUGCAUGUGGUGAAACUGCGGCCAGGAAGCGGGAGGAGGUAAUGGGGUUUUGGCCCCAACCGGUUUGGGUUGGCACAAAACUGACACAAAUGUCUGUGACACGUUUGGCUAAUUUAUAUCAAACAUAGACAGCUUGCGAUAAACAUUUUGUUGCGGAACUGGGUUAAAGUGCAACAUAAUCCAUAAGUCAAUAACAACUAACUUUCGUUAUGAACUGCUGAAAGGUACUUCUUGAUUGAUACGUUCUUCAUCUUAAAUUUAACGACUAGAAGUUGAGAUAAAUCCGCAUUUAAUGCCUGCUCAACUUCAGCUUUUUAGCCAUUAAUUUAUGACUUGGCAUUAAUCAAUUAGCUAGCUGUGUGUACUCUCCUUACAGCUUUUGACCAGCGAAUUGUUUGCUUAAUUGCAUCGGGCUCUAUUUACAUAAGCAGCUGAAAGCACCGCGAAACCACCUCGCAACGCAGUCCUAUGCCUUACUUCCAUUUUAAGCCACCUAAAAGGGAAAAAAAUACGGCUCAAAGAGGGUAAAAAAAAAGAACUACCAAUUAAAAACUCAUCAAAUGCUCCGCGCGGAGGAGGAGGCUGGGGCACAACGACUCCACCUGCGACUCUUCAAAGGAAAACUCCUGGCGGUGGCAACCGGUUGCAAGAGGAUGAAUCCGCAAACAGAAGGCGGAGUGGGUGGGCUACAACGCUGGCCAAGUGGGCGCCACAUUGUGGGGGGAUGGUGGGUAAAAGAUUUGGCAACCAAAGCGACGACCUUAUGCCCACAAAUUCCCUCUGCCCUUUAAGCACCGCCCAUCUGGAAAUGAAGUUGAAGCUGUUGUCUUUGUUGGUGUUGCUUGUUGCUUUUGCUUUUGCUGGUUGGUUGUUGCUUUUGCUGUUGCUUUUGCUUGUUGGCUGUUGCUAUUUAGCCGGCGGCAGUAACAUUUCGUCUGUUUGCUUGUCGUCGGCAAAAGCUUGUUUCGUACAUUUUCGCCUGCCGAUGCCACAAGACCAGAAGACCCCCUCCCCUCCAUUGCCACCUUGUACUACCAAUUGCUCCCCCUGCUCGCUCCAUUUGGCUCAAGUGCUUUCUUCUUGUUUCCUUCUUGCUACGCGACGCUUAUUCAUGCUUUUCAAUAUGUUUCACAUACAUAUAAUUGAUAUAACCAUGUUACAGUUACCAAGAAAUUCUACUGUUUCGAAUCCCAUUUCGUAUGAUGUAGCAUAAAAGUAUUUUUCCAAUAAUCUACAAAUAAUCAAACAGCUUGCACGCCAGCCAUAUCGCAUUUAUCUAAGAACCAACUACUUGACCUCAUCCUGCACUUUGCUGUGUAUGCACGUGUCCCCCUCGAGCUUAAUUCAAGUAUCUCUCAACUUGUCAGCUCCUUAAAAAUUCGACCAUCCUUUAAUCAAAAGGCACAGCGCCAUGGAGGCACUACUACUUCAUUCCUGCCUGCUUGCUUGCUUUCUUUCUUUCCCCAACAAAUGGGAAACUCACAGCGGCAAUAGCAACAACACUCCACACAACUUUCCACAACAGCUGCUUGAAGUAACGCUCAGACUUUUCAUCCCCACAACUAGCUCCUUUCGAAAAGGAGGAGACUGAACUGAACUGAACGCAUCGUCCAGUUUUGACUUUUCAACUUCUUUAACCACUUAGACUCAUCAACUUGUUUUCCUGCUACUUUUUACCAUAGUUUUCCUCUAGUUUUCCUCCUCAUCCACGGCAAGUUGUGUGGGUGUGAUUGCUGGCAUUUCCUUCGUUUACUCCUCUCUUUCGAGAAAAACUUCUGCAUGCCACUUUAAUUUGCGCCAACUACCAACAACUAACCAUAUCAGCAGGAGCUGGAUAUCUUGUCGAGGUCAGAAUGAUUUACACGGAAAGAAUAUUGCUCUUUGCUACAUAUUGAAAAUAAGGUAUAGCCUGUGAAAUAUGAUGUGUAUUUACGCUUUUAAUAAACUUGUAACUAAUUUAUAAAAGGAAAUCUUUUAAAGUAUUACUUAUUACUGUUUCUUUUGGCCAAGACUGUCAUCGAUUUGGGUAGUGUUGGUGAUUCAUUUAAGCCCGAGCGCUUUGGGUUCUCUCAUCUAUGGACUGCUGUGCCCAAAAGCGGCAAUCCUCCCACUCGUCGUUGUGCCCCAACAACACCACCCACAAUAUUUCGCCACCCCAGGAGCCUGUCUGUUUCUCUGUCUGCCUGCCUCCGGCUCUCUCCGUAGCAUUUUUUUCUCGUUUUUUUUUUUUGACAAAUGACCAAAUGACGUCGACCCAAUGUCUGUAGCGUGCUGUUGACACCGUUGACAGUUGGCCGUAAACAACAAAGGCAA
rnacentral:sRNA from 1 species